rnacentral:lncRNA from 1 species
AACAAAGGAGUGCUCUCUGUGAGUUCCUUUCUUGCUACCAGGAUCCGAUAAAGGUGGACUAUUUUACCGAAGCCUUAGCUAUGGAAACAAAUUUGGAGGUCGUCCGAAUCAGAAUCGCGGCACCCUCGUUGAGACGACAUUGAAGUUGUUCUUGAAUAAAGACGACGGAAUUUGAGGCUGAGCAACUUGAUGAUUCAGAAUUUUUGCUCGAAAACGGAUUCGCCGGAAAAUACUAUUUGUUUUUGAACAAAAAUGACGGAGUUUGGGGCUGAGCAACUUGAUUUCUGUUAAUAUAUUUCUAUGUAUUUUCAACGUAUCACGCUGUAUUUUCAUAUAUCUCAUUGUAUUUAUUGUCUUUUUUUAUUAUAAUUCAAUGUAUCUCGUUGUAUUCCAUAUAUUUCAUUAUAUUCACUAUCUUUUUUCAUUACAUUUCAAUAUAUC